GUUUCUUUCUUUGGUUUAGGAACCGAUGCUGAGAAUUUUUGGACAGACAAUACUUUCGGAACAUUUCUUCUUUUCGCACAUAUCGGAACUGUUAAUGACCGACCAAUACAUAAAGCAAAUUUGGGAAUUAAGCACACUGGCCUUCUUAACCCUGACAGUGACAUCGUCGCAGGUAUUAUCUGGUUCUAAUAUCGUAACCGUGAAUAGA
rnacentral:lncRNA from 1 species